CCGGCUCAGGACGAACGCUGGCGGCGUGCUUAACACAUGCAAGUCGAACGAUGAAGCCCUUCGGGGUGGAUUAGUGGCGAACGGGUGAGUAACACGUGGGCAAUCUGCCCUUCACUCUGGGACAAGCCCUGGAAACGGGGUCUAAUACCGGAUAACACCUGCCCGGGCAUCCGGGUGGGUUAAAAGCUCCGGCGGUGAAGGAUGAGCCCGCGGCCUAUCAGCUUGUUGGUGAGGUAGUGGCUCACCAAGGCGACGACGGGUAGCCGGCCUGAGAGGGCGACCGGCCACACUGGGACUGAGACACGGCCCAGACUCCUACGGGAGGCAGCAGUGGGGAAUAUUGCACAAUGGGCGAAAGCCUGAUGCAGCGACGCCGCGUGAGGGAUGACGGCCUUCGGGUUGUAAACCUCUUCAGCAGGGAAGAGC
rnacentral:rRNA from 1 species